UGUGGGUGUCCUUUAAAGGGGUUCGAAAUCCACCAACUGUGUGUCCUCAUCUGUGGACAGGGCCUCCACUCACCUGCCUUCCCCACAGGGAGUGCGCAAUGCUGGAUCACAAAGCACACUAGAAACUGUCAGAGAACGAUAAAGGGAAAAGUAGGAACCAAACUCAAAGUGGGGACUGCCCUGGGGGUGGGGACACAAACCAGGGAGAGAGCAGUAAAGGGGAAUUCAUUUUAUUCCUUUAAAAAACAAAACCAGACUAGAAACAAAUAUACCCAUUGUUACACAAUGUUUAAUUCUGAUGGUACACAUAUAGGUAAACUGAGGCUCAGAAGGAAAAGGUGUUUGGUUUAAGGCCAUGCUAAGGACCGAUGCCUUGAAGUGUUUCUUUGCAUUUCUUCCUAUAAAUGGGAGAAGAGCAGAAUGCUUUCUACACCUCAGGGAUCCUGUACAUUAGGUGGAAAAACCCACAUUAAAGGUGGCCAAGGUGAUGCUCAGGGAACGAAAGCCACGUAAGCGUCAGGAGAAAGUGAGCCCAGGUCUCCGUGCCACACGUCCAUCCCUCGGCUCACCGCUCCACGCUGCCACCCCUGACGCUGAGUAAACUUCAUGCGCCCACACACUCAAAGGCGUAGAGAGCACCGUUUCCAGUGCUCAGGAUCAGGCGUGUGUUGGAUUAGGGGAGAACGUUUCCUGCAGCAAUACAAUUUGUCCGCCAGCAUUGGUGCUAGAGGUGCUGAGUGCCUGGCAAACUCACUGUGUUAUGAACUCUCAGAACAGGAAUGAAUCCUAAACUGGAAUAGCACAAAUGUGCACCACAAACAUAUAAACACACUCAAGCAUAUCACACCUGACAUUUGGGACACAGCACUACACACACACACACACACACACACACACACAAUGCCUCGGCUUAGAUGCCCAAACUGCCUUUGUAACCAGGAGAAAGUCUCUGCUUUCUAAUACAAAUAGACUUUGAGAAAGGAUCUUUGCAAAAGAGAAAAAAAUCCAGGUAUUCAUUUAUCUUCUAGACACUUUGUUCUUUAACAUGUCAUUUGGCUUGACUCGGGGAACAGAAAACAUGAUAC